GCUUGACCUUCACUAUCAAAACAACAGGAGUGAGAUUAGUAUAUGGCGGAUUUUGUAAAGCCGACCACCGCCAUAAAGCUUCAGUUUUGGAAGGACACGAUCUUCUUUUUGUUCAUUGUGUAUCGUCAGAGCCUACGCUGUUGGUUCCCAUGGGUUAUCGUGUGUUCAGUUUUGAAUGCCGUGAGAUUCACAUCAGUUUUCUGGAUAAUUUGCAUAUCAGAAGAAUCGCUAUUUUAAUUGUCUAUUUGUCUCUAAAAGUUGAUGAAACAUUCGCCGAUUGCAAUAGCCCAGCAUUGAUAGAGAUACAUUCCAGUUGUGCUUUUAGGGUAAGUCGUUUGCUUUAAUCGUUAAAGCGAAUACAAAGGCAAUGUACCUACACAAUGUUUUUUUUAUGAUUCAGAUUUUUAUAGCCAAUGUUGGUAACAAUAUGUCAAUAUUUGUGCUUUCCAUUUUGAAUAUAAGCAUAUAUAGAGCUAAAAUAGUUUAAGUUAGAGAAGCUUAGACUGUUCAUUUGGUUUGAUCAUAGAGGUUUGAUUACUUUGGUAUUUUAUUACUAUUAAAAUGAGUCACAUUAAUUGCACCAUUUAUUAUUUUACUCUGUCUCAUGCCAGAUUGUUUUACUCUGUCUAAUGGCAGCUGGCCUAUCUGCCCAUGUGUCUAGUUAACCCAUUGAGUCACACUGUCCCCACAUGUGCCCUACUUUAAUAUUGUACUUUGUUAAACUGAAUAUUGUUUUCAUAUGUUGCAGUUCUCUGACCUCAGUGAUCUCGGGCAAGAUGGAACAGGACAAUCUUUUAUCUUUGAGAAUGUUGUUUUGUGGGAUUUCAAUAUUCUGCCAUCCCCACCUUCUCAAACAAUUCAACCUCGAGAUCCAGAUACUGUUAAUGAAGAGUUGGACAGUGUGCUGUCACCAAUAAAUUUACAAGGACAAACUGGAUGUAACUGUGAUCUACAACCAAUAAAUUUACAAGGGCAAACUGGAUGUAACUGUGAUCUACAACCAAUAAAUUUACAAGGGCAAACUGGAUGUAACUGUGAUCUACAACCAAUAAAUUUACAAGGGCAAACUGGAUGAAACUGUGAUCUACAACCAAUAAAUUUACAAGGGCAUACUGGAUGUAACUGUGAUCUACAACCAAUAAAUUUACAAGGGCAAACUGGAUGAAACUGUGAUCUACAACCAAUAAAUUUACAAGGGCAAACUGGAUGUAACUGUGAUCUACAACCAAUAAAUUUACAAGGGCAAACUGGAUGUAACUGUGAUCUACAACCAAUAAAUUCUGUGUGCUUGGUGGAUAUUACUCCACAGUACAGCAUUGUUGAUUGUGAAAAGUGGACCAUGGGACAGAGAUGACCCAAGAAACAUCACAAACAUCAUAUUCACCUGAGUACAUAACACCAACACACACAAGAAGUAUAUUGUAAAUUGAUUUGAUUUUAUUUUAUUAUGGAUCCCUACAUAUUUUAUUAUGGAUCCCUACGAUUAUAACAGUGACAUAGAUUAC